AAUCAGUGACUCUGAGCUGCUUUAAGAUCUUCUGUCCGUCUCUUCCAUCAUCUCUCACAUGGAGCUUCAGUCCUGAACACCUCAUCAAUGCAAACAUCACAGAACAGCAGCAUCAAAACCAAACACAUUACUACUCUGAUCUGAUGUUCACUGUAACUCAGCAUCAUCACAGAGCUGAAUUCACCUGCACUGCAACACAGCAGCAGAUCACAACACACAGCACCCGACAGCUACAUGUUCAGUAUGCUCCUAAAAGUGUCUCUGCUCAUGUGAGUCCAGCUGGUGUGAUUGUGGAGGGUCAUUCAGUGACUCUGAGCUGCAGCAGUGAAGCAAACCCAGCAGUCAAAUACAGCUGGUACAGACACAAUGAAGGAGACCUGGAACCAGUGCAGACCGGACCAAACCUGACCAUCAGCAACACAAACCUGACUGAGACAAACCUGACCUUGAGCUACUCCAACCUGACCAUCAACGACAUCAACCCAUCACACAGUGGACGAUACUACUGCAGAGCUAAAAACCAACAUGGGACUCAGAACACAUCAGUGCUGCUGGACGUCCAGU
ensembl:processed_transcript